UACGUAGGGUCCGAGCGUUGUCCGGAAUUAUUGGGCGUAAAGGGCUCGUAGGCGGUCCGUCACGUCGGGCGUGAAAACUCAGGGCUCAACCCUGAGCGUGCUUCCGAUACGGGCGGGCUAGAGGUAUGCAGGGGGGAACGGAAUUCCUGGUGUAGCGGUGGAAUGCGCAGAUAUCAGGAGGAACACCGGUGGCGAAGGCGGUUCUCUGGGCAUUACCUGACGCUGAGGAGCGAAAGCAUGGGGAGCGAACAGG
rnacentral:rRNA from 1 species